UACAGAGGGUGCGAGCGUUGUUCAGAGUUACUGGGCGUAAAGCGCGCGCAGGCGGCCUUUUAAGUCUACCCGUGAAAUGCCGGAGCUCAACUCCGUGCACGCCGGGGGAUACUGGGAGGCUGGAGACAGGUAGAGGCAAGCGGAAUUCCGGGUGUAGCGGUGGAAUGCGUAGAUAUCCGGAAGAACACCUGAGGCGAAGGCGGCCAACUGGGCUUGUUCUGACGCUGAGGUGCGAAAGCGUGGGGAGCGAACAGG
rnacentral:rRNA from 1 species